rnacentral:rRNA from 1 species
UGCAGCCGAACGCCUCUUCUCCCCCGGAGCUUGCUCCACCGGGAAAAGAGGAGUGGCGAACGGGUGAGUAACACGUGGGUAACCUGCCCAUCAGAAGGGGAUAACACUUGGAAACAGGUGCUAAUACCGUAUAACAAUCGAGACCGCAUGGUUUCGUUUUGAAAGGCGCUUUACGGUGCCGCUGAUGGAUGGACCUGCGGUGCAUUAGCUAGUUGGUGAGGUAACGGCUCACCAAGGCCACGAUGCAUAGCCGACCUGAGAGGGUGAUCGGCCACAUUGGGACUGAGACACGGCCCAAACUCCUACGGGAGGCAGCAGUAGGGAAUCUUCGGCAAUGGACGAAAGUCUGACCGAGCAACGCCGCGUGAGUGAAGAAGGUUUUCGGAUCGUAAAACUCUGUUGUUAGAGAAGAACAAGGGUGAGAGUAACUGUUCACCCCUUGACGGUAUCUAACCAGAAAGCCACGGCUAACUACGUGCCAGCAGCCGCGGUAAUACGUAGGUGGCAAGCGUUGUCCGGAUUUAUUGAGCGUAAAGCGAGCGCAGGCGGUUUCUUAAGUCUGAUGUGAAAGCCCCCGGCUCAACCGGGGAGGGUCAUUGGAAACUGGGAGACUUGAGUGCAGAAGAGAGAGUGGAAUUCCAUGUGUAGCGGUGAAAUGCGUAGAUAUAUGGAGGAACACCUGUGGCGAAGCGGCUCUCUGGUCUGUAACUGACGCUGA